AAAACUCACACUUAUAUUAAAAACUCCUUGUUAAGGGCGCUGACACAAUUGGAGUUAGACAGAUUCUGGUCCUACUUUGCUAUUAAAUUUGUAUCAACCGGCAAGGAACUAGCGUGUGCAUCUUCUGUCGGUCUGACUCUGAGUCAUCCAACCUGACCCACUCUUCGCUACCGCUGCCUCCUUCUGAUCGUAUUUUCAAUUUCUACUGCUAUUUACUGAAAUCAUUCUCCUGCUUGCUAUUGGAAUUCUUAAUAUUUGUUUUAACUUGUGCAAUUGUUUUUCUGUUUGAAAGCACCACCAUAUUGCACUCUAACUGUUUGAUAUUUUCUUUCAACGAAUCAGUUUUAUUUCUCCUCCAACAUGCAUAGAACAUUUACAUUUUUCUUACUUGCAUCUAUCUUUUAAAACUGUUAUUUUACACUAAAAAAAAGAUGUCUAUGCGUUCCCAUUCCCGUUUAAAAAAUCAAGCACUAUGUUGGAUGGGUUCCACUGAAGCAA
rnacentral:misc_RNA from 1 species